AAGGCCCUAGUAACAACAUAUUACAGGACUCUGUCAGAGUCAAAUUACAGGUAAAACCCUGUGAGCCUUA
rnacentral:tRNA from 1 species